AAAAAGGCAAACCCUGGGUUUGCGUGUCCAACUUUGACUAUCCGUCUUGUUUUUUUUAUUAUGAAAUUUUUUUAUAAUUCGUAUUUUUAUUGUUGUUAGAUGAUAAAACAUGAUUAAUACUUUGUGCAUGACUUGUCUUUUUAAUUUUUUUCAUAACUUUUUCAAAUAAGACGAACGGUCAAACAUUGGACACGGAAACCAGAGUUUGUCUUUUUU
rfam:Oryza rufipogon genomic scaffold, chr12